rnacentral:rRNA from 1 species
GAUGAACGCUGGCGGCGUGCCUAAUACAUGCAAGUCGAGCGAACGGACGAGAAGCUUGCUUCUCUGAUUUUAGCGGCGGACGGGUGAGUAACACGUGGAUAACCUACCUAUAAGACUGGAAUAACUUUGGGAAACCGGAGCUAAUACCGGAUAAUAUUUUGAACCGCAUGGUUCAAAAGUGAAAGACGGUCUUGCUGUCACUUAUAGAUGGAUCCGCGCUGCAUUACCUAGUUGGUAAGGUAACGGCUUACCAAGGCAACGAUGCAUAGACGACCUGAGAGGGACGUUCCCCAGCCUGUCAGUGAGGAACGGUCCCGACUCCUGCGCUAGGACGCAGCACGGACUCCUACGGAAUGGACGAAAGGCUAACAGUGCACCACGGCCUGAGUGCUGAAGCUCUUAGGAUCGUAAAGCUAUGUAAUUAUUAAGGAACAUAUGUGUAAGUACCUGUGAAGAUAUUGACGGUACCGAAUGAGAAAGCCACGGCUAACUACGUG